AGAACUGCAUAACUGAAAUCUCAAAUGAAGGGGCAACGCCCGGAAGGGGAUUCACUAAUACUCCGAAUAGCGUCAGCCGGAUACAGACGGCUGGGGUUAUCGAGCUCGGGGAAGUCGUGCGAAGCACACCCUAACGCCGGAAGGCGAGGAAAGAUUCGUAGAGGUACGGGUUGUGUGUGACAGUGCGGGUG
rnacentral:ncRNA from 1 species